CGGGGGCUCAUUUCUUCAGGACGGUUGGUCACAUGCAAAGCUGCUGGGGAAGCAGGCUCCUCUGGUUCCUCUGGUUCCUCUGGUCUCGGUACUCCCCCCUGGGUGCUCCCCCAGAGCCCUGCUGGCCCCUCCACUGGGAGCAAAGCGAACGAUACGCACACCAGCAAGCUGGAGGGUGAGAAAGCAGAAAUGAAGUUGUUCCCCCCCCCCCGCCCCGCCCGAAUUACUAUGGAACAAUGUGCAGCUCUAUUGUACUUUAACAAGUCAUCCCGUUGCCAUGGUAACCCGGAAGAGGCCUUUGAAGUUCCUCUGGAUGGACAGAGGGAUGCGGGGCGCGGGCCCUGCGGCUCCCGGGCUGGCCGCCAGAGGGCGCGCUCGGGGCGGGGAAGCGCAGCAGGCCUCUGGCUUGUGAGAUGGACCCCCCUCCCCCGGAGAAGCCUCCACCCCGUGCUCAACCGUGCCCUUCUGCUCCGGGAUGGCUUUGGAAGCAAGAGCCCUGGAGUGGGAGCAGCGUGAGUGGAGGAAUGACAAAAAGGAGGCCCAGUGACCAGUUUAGGAAUAAGAACGAGCGCAAAUACCCGCAAAAGAUCGACGUGUGGAUUUAACACAAAAUGUGCCCAAAUCAGCUGCUUUAAAAAGAAAAGAAAUGGACUAAACCGUUCCUCGGAUUGACUUGCUUAUGUGAAGAGUCGAGAAAGCCAAAACAAUCUUGACAAAGAGGAGGUUGAGGACUCACCCUUCCGAUUUCCCCGCGAACUACGAGUUACAGUAACUGACACUUACCAAUAGUAUUUUCCAGCCUGUGAACGUGGACUUUUUCCCUCAAUGUAUUUAGAUCUUUAAGAAAUGCCUUUGAAAAAAUAUCUUCUAUGUUUUUAAAUCAAUAGACCUAUUUUUCUUUAAGAGCAGUGUUAGGUUCCCAGAGCGAUCGUUGUAGAACGUUCAGUCGCCAUGUGACACCCCACCCCCACCACACAGGUUCCCCCGUUUUUAACACCUUGCAUUUGUGUGAUACACGUGUUACAGGUGAUGAGCCAAAAUCAAGAUGUUGUUAUUAACCAAAGUCUACAGUUUACAUUAGGAUUCACAAUUUGUGUUGUUCAUUCUGUGGGUUUGGACAAACACAGUAGCACCGUGUGUCCACCGGUACAGUAUCGUACAGAGUGAUCUCACCACCCUAAAAUUUGCCUGUG
rnacentral:lncRNA from 1 species